rnacentral:rRNA from 1 species
UACGUAGGGCGCAAGCGUUAUCCGGAAUUACUGGGCGUAAAGGGCUCGUAGGCGGCCAACUAAGUCGGAUGUGAAAUCCCCAGGCUCAACUUGGGAACUGCAUCCGAUACUGGAUGGCUUGAAUUCGGGAGAGGGAUGCAGAAUUCCAGGUGUAGCGGUGAAAUGCGUAGAUAUCUGGAGGAAUACCGGUGGCGAAGGCGGCAUCCUGGACCAAUACUGACGCUGAGGAGCGAAAGCGAGGGGAGCAAACGGG